rnacentral:rRNA from 1 species
CGGACGGGUGAGUAAUGUCUGGGAAACUGCCCGAUGGAGGGGGGUAACUACUGGAAACGGUAGCUAAUACCGCAUAACGUCGCAAGACCAAAGAGGGGGACCUUCGGGCCUCUUGCCAUCGGAUGUGCCCAGAUGGGAUUGGCUAGUAGGUGGGGUAACGGCUCACCUAGGCGACGAUCCCUAGCUGGUCUGAGAGGAUGACCAGCCACACUGGAACUGAGACACGGUCCAG